UUUUUACAUUGUCUUUUGUGAGUGCACCGUCUACAGGAGGUGAUGGUGCCGCUCUUUACAGGAGGUGAUGGUGCCCUCCUGUACAGGAGGUGAUGGUGCCGCUCUUUACAGGAGGUGAUGGUGCCGCCCUGUACAGGAGGUGAUGGUGCCCUCCUGUACAGGAGGUGAUGGUGCUGCUCUUUACAGGAGGUGAUGGUGCCGCCCUGUACAGGAGGUGAUGGUGCCAACCUUUACAGGAGGUGAUGGUGCCAACCUUUACAGGAGGUGAUGGUGCCGUCCUGUACUGGUGGUGAUGGUGCCAACCUUUACAGGAGGUGAUGGUGCCAACCUUUACAGGAGGUGAUGGUGCCGACCUUUACAGGAGGUGAUGGUGCCGUCCUGUACUGGUGGUGAUGGUGCCAACCUUUACAGGAGGUGAUGGUGCCAACCUUUACAGGAGGUGAUGGUGCCGUCCUGUACUGGUGGUGAUGGUGCCAACCUUUACAGGAGGUGAUGGUGCCAACCUUUACAGGAGGUGAUGGUGCCGUCCUGUACUGGUGGUGAUGGUGCCAACCUUUACAGGAGGUGAUGGUGCCAACCUUUACAGGAGGUGAUGGUGCCGUCCUGUACAGGUGGUGAUGGUGCUGCUCUUUACAGGAGGUGAUGGUGCCGUCCUGUACAGGUGGUGAUGGUGCCAGCUGGCCAUCAUGCAUCAGGGGAGAAGGCAAACCAGCGAACACGUUCAGACGCAGCAGGUGAAGCUGUGUGGGCUCUGUCUGUCGCUGUCGUCCUGCCAGUUGUAAAAUAUUUUAUCUUGUGCAAUCGAUGCGUUUUAUUUUCUGUUUGUUUCAAUAAAUCACCGGCAUCAUUCUUCAGUCAA